AAGCGCGCGCAGGCGGUUCCUUAAGUCUGAUGUGAAAGCCCCCGGCUCAACCGGGGAGGGUCAUUGGAAACUGGGGAACUUGAGUGCAGAAGAGGAGAGCGGAAUUCCACGUGUAGCGGUGAAAUGCGUAGAGAUGUGGAGGAACACCAGUGGCGAAGGCGGCUCUCUGGUCUGUAACUGACGCUGAGGCGCGAAAGCGUGGGGAGCGAACAGGAUUAGAUACCCUGGUAGUCCACGCCGUAAACGAUGAGUGCUAAGUGUUAGAGGGUUUCCGCCCUUUAGUGCUGCAGCAAACGCAUUAAGCACUCCGCCUGGGGAGUACGGCCGCAAGGCUGAAACUCAAAGGAAUUGACGGGGGCCCGCACAAGCGGUGGAGCAUGUGGUUUAAUUCGAAGCAACGCGAAGAACCUUACCAGGUCUUGACAUCCUCUGACAACCCUAGAGAUAGGGCGUUCCCCUUCGGGGGACAGAGUGACAGGUGGUGCAUGGUUGUCGUCAGCUCGUGUCGUGAGAUGUUGGGUUAAGUCCCGCAACGAGCGCAACCCUUGAUCUUAGUUGCCAGCAUUCAGUUGGGCACUCUAAGGUGACUGCCGGUGACAAACCGGAGGAAGGUGGGGAUGACGUCAAAUCAUCAUGCCCCUUAUGACCUGGGCUACACACGUGCUACAAUGGAUGGAACAAAGGGUCGCGAAGCCGCGAGGUCGAGCCAAUCCCAUAAAUCCAUUCUCAGUUCGGAUUGCAGGCUGCAACUCGCCUGCAUGAAGCCGGAAUCGCUAGUAA
rnacentral:rRNA from 2 species